AUAAACGUUGGCGGCGUGCCUAACGCAUGCAAGUCGCACGAGGGCUUCGGCCCGAGUGGCGGACGGGUGAGUAACACGUAGGAACCUGCCCGGAAGUGGGGGACAACUCUCCGAGAGGGGAGCUAAUACCGCAUACGGUCUACGGACCAAAGCUUCGGCGCUUCCGGAGGGGCCUGCGGUGGAUUAGCUAGUUGGUGGGGUAACGGCCUACCAAGGCGACGAUCCAUAGCUGGUCUGAGAGGAUGAUCAGCCACACUGGGACUGAGACACGGCCCAGACUCCUACGGGAGGCAGCAGCGAGGAAUUUUGCACAAUCGACGAAAGUCGGAUGCAGCAACGCCGCGUGGGGGAAGAAGGCUUUCGAGUUGUAAACCCCUUUUGUGAGGGAAGAAGAUCUGACGGUACCUCACGAAUAAGUCACGGCUAACUACGU
rnacentral:rRNA from 1 species